AACGAACGCUGGCGGCAUGCCUAACACAUGCAAGUCGAACGAGACCUUCGGGUCUAGUGGCGCACGGGUGCGUAACGCGUGGGAACCUGCCUUUAGGUUCGGAAUAACUCAGAGAAAUUUGAGCUAAUACCGGAUAAUGUCUUCGGACCAAAGAUUUAUCGCCCUGAGAUAAGCCCGCGUAGGAUUAGCUAGUUGGUGGGGUAAAGGCUCACCAAGGCGACGAUCCUUAGCUGGUCUGAGAGGAUGAUCAGCCACACUGGGACUGAGACACGGCCCAGACUCCUACGGGAGGCAGCAGUGGGGAAUAUUGGACAAU
rnacentral:rRNA from 1 species